rnacentral:rRNA from 1 species
GACGAACGCUGGCGGCGUGCUUAACACAUGCAAGUCGAACGGAAAGGCUCCAGCUUGCUGGAGUACUCGAGUGGCGAACGGGUGAGUAACACGUGGGUGAUCUGCCCUGCACUUCGGGAUAGGCCUGGGAAACUGGGCCUAAUACCGGAUAGGACGGCACUUUGGUGUGUGUGGUGGAAAGGUUUUUCUGGUGUGGGAUGAGCUCGCGGCCUAUCAGUUUGUUGGUGGGGUAAUGGCCUACCAAGACGGCGACGGGUAGCCGGCCUGAGAGGGUGGACGGUCACAUUGGGACUGAGAUACGGCCCAGACUCCUACGGGAGGCAGCAGUGGGGAAUAUUGCACAAUGGGGGAAACCCUGAUGCAGCGACGCCGCGUGGGGGAUGAAGGCCUUCGGGUUGUAAACUCCUUUCGCUAGGGACGAAGCUUUUUGUGACGGUACCUGGAGAAGAAGCACCGGCUAACUACGUG